rnacentral:rRNA from 1 species
GAUGAACGCUGGCGGCGUGCUUAACACAUGCAAGUCGAACGGUGAAGCUCCAGCUUGCUGGAGUGGAUCAGUGGCGAACGGGUGAGUAACACGUGAGCAACCUGCCCCUGACUCUGGGAUAACAGCCGGAAACGGCUGCUAAUACCGGAUAUGCACCAUGAACGCAUGUUCUGUGGUGGGAAAGAUUUUUCGGUUGGGGAUGGGCUCGCGGCCUAUCAGCUUGUUGGUGAGGUAAUGGCUCACCAAGGCGUCGACGGGUAGCCGGCCUGAGAGGGUGACCGGCCACACGGGAACUGAGACACGGCCAAGCCUCCUACGGGAGGCAGCAGUGGGGAAUAUUGCACAAGGGGCGAAGGCCUGAUGCAGCAACGCCGCGUGAGGAUGACGGCCUUCGGGUUGUAAACCUCUUUUAGCAGGGAAGAAGCGAGAGUGACGGUACCUGCAGAAAAAGCGCCGGCUAACUACGUG